rnacentral:rRNA from 1 species
GACGGAGGAUGCAAGCGUUAUCCGGAAUGAUUGGGCGUAAAGCGUCUGCAGGUGGCAGUUAAAGUCUGCUGUCAAAGACCGGGGCUUAACUUCGGAAAGGCAGUGGAAACUGAACAGCUAGAGUAUGGUAGGGGGAGAGGGAAUUCCUGGUGUAGCGGUGAAAUGCGUAGAGAUCAGGAAGAACAUCGGUGGCGAAGGCGCUCUGCUGGACCAUAACUGACACUCAGGGACGAAAGCUAGGGGAGCGAAUGGG